UGUGUGUCAGGAGAUGUAGAAGGAAAUAGCACACUUAGUUGGAGGGAUGAAGCAGUACAAAUCUAUAUCAGGUGAAGGAAGGAGGCCCUGAGAUUGUUUCCAGUGAGCAUUCAGAUCAUGGCAUUUACAGAUGUUACGAUAUACCCUGGGAGGUCUGAGAUUUGGUUCCACUUGUUCAUUUAAUGGAUUUUCCUGACUCCUACCCUUGGGAGAGAGGGAGAAACUUCAGCCAGCAACAUGACUGCAUCUCCAAACCAGCAUUUCCAGCCUGACUUUAGAUGAACCAGGCUCUGCUUGCCUAAGGAAAAACCCAAAAUUCCACCCUGCCAGCUGUCAUCCUCCAGCUCCCACCAGACCACAAAUGGAACAUCUGUUUUUUUUCCUUCCAUUUCCUACAUGCUUGUUUUGUUUGUUUUUUGGGGAAACUGACUUGACAAAACUCACAGCUAAGUGUGUUGAUUGUGACAUUUUGCUGUUAGUUAGGAAAAGGAAAACAAACCUUGUUUUGCUGAAGACUUCAUAAACAAAGCAGAAUGAUUAAUGUGUGGUUACAGAGGCCUAGUCUAUACUAGACAGGGUUUGCCAGUAUAGCUGUACUCAUAAAAUCUCCUAGUGAAUGCAGCUUAUACUGGCAAAAUAAUUCUUUUCCCAGUAUAGCUUAUACCAGUUCAACAAACAAAAUAAACUAUACUGAUAAAGGGACUUUUUGAUGGUAUAACUGCAUCUACAUUAGGUCUUUUGCCUUCGCAGCUAUGUCUGUUACAGAUGUGAUUGAUUGAUUUUCCCCCACACACACUCUAACCAACAUAGCUAUGCUGAGAAAACAUGUGAGUAUGGACUAGGCCUGAAAAGUUAAUACCAGGACUUGAAAAGAACCAUGAGACCACUUUGUGGUGCAUAAAGGUAAGACGCAAACAAUCCUAAGACAUGACAGUAGCCUGCCUGAUUAGUGGAUUUAAGCAGCUAGUUUUAGGAUGUUUUGCAACCAAUUACUCAAUAUGUUUAGUUUUGGUUAUUAAUCUUAGAUAACUAUAUUUUAUUACAUUAAUGGUAACACACAGUAACUGUCAUCACAUCAAAUCUGCUCUAAGAUAAUUGGGCAAUUGGGAAUCUUAAUUUAAAAACUCUACCCUGUUAAGUGAUUGCUCAAAUAUUCUUGACAUUUUCCAUUAUAACACCUCUUGAUGGUAAUUCAUACUAUGCAAUUUUCUUCAAUCCAUUCUCAAGCCGAAAACAAUGUUUUUACAAUGAUGCACUUGUUCUGAGUGAAAGGCAAUCUGCUAAUAUUCAUUUUUCAUCAGUUUCUGUUUUCUGUAUUAUUCCUAAUUACUUACAAUAUUCCUUUUCAUGCAGUUCAGUAUAUAAGUUUACUGUUUGCCUUUUAAUGCACAAACGAUUUUUGAGCAGAACACCCAUUAAUCACCUUGUGUAUUGAUGAGAGAAUAGAACCUUAAAAUAGACUUUUCUGUAUAGGAGAGAGUUAUAGUAAGAAAUCUGUGUGAAAGCAGAGAAGCAAAAGGAGGAAAAACGUACUUGGCAAGUGUCAUCAUGCCUCAGUGGGUCACAGUUGAAGAUGCCAAAUUCAGGACAGACUUCUGAGAAAUGGGACAGACUCACCCUAAACUGCUGCUUAGUCUAUCAUUAGAUUAUACCAAUCCAGUAACAAAAGUGAACUUCUGUAUCACCACACUUGUUAACAAGAAAUCAAAAAUGCAGUCUCCAUAGGCAUUCCAGUCCUUGGCUCACCACCCAGCCACUAGACUUUAUGAUGAGUGGUUACUGAAAACCGGUUUCAUCAGAUAUAGGGUCCUUCCAAUCUCAAGGGAUCAGCCACUUAGACAGGUCAAUAUAUAACUCAAAACUUACCCAAAAUCACACUGAUGCCUAUCUUUUGUAACUACAAACUAAAGGUUUAAUAAUAUAAAAAG